rnacentral:ncRNA from 1 species
AAUGAUAGAGGUUGCGCACUUCAUCAGUACAUGGCAGGAUGUGUUCAGGCACAGGCGAAUGCCGUGAAAAGGGGAGAGCGCCGAAAGAUUACAGCACCUGAAGCCGUAUUCUUGGGCAUAGGCUGAAGAAGCAUAUGACUGUCAUCGGAUUUCGAUGGAGGGCUAUCUU